rnacentral:rRNA from 1 species
GUGUCAGCAGCCGCGGUAAUACAGAGGUCCCAAGCGUUGUUCGGAUUCACUGGGCGUAAAGGGUGCGUAGGCGGUGGGGUAAGUCUGACGUGAAAUCUCCGAGCCUAACUCGGAAACUGCGUUGGAUACUAUCCUGCUAGAGGAAUGGAGGGGAGACUGGAAUACUUGGUGUAGCAGUGAAAUGCGUAGAUAUCAAGUGGAACACCAGUGGCGAAGGCGAGUCUCUGGACAUUUCCUGACGCUGAGGCACGAAAGCCAGGGGAGCAAACGGGAUUAGAUACCCGCGUAGUCC